rnacentral:rRNA from 1 species
GUCUACAGCCAUGCCACCCUGAACACGCCCAAUCUUGUCUGAUUGCAGAAGCUAAGCAGGGUUGGGCCUGGUUAGUACUUGGAUGAGAGACCACCUAGAAAUAUGAGGUGCUGUAGGUG